rnacentral:rRNA from 1 species
AUUGAACGCUGGCGGCAUGCUUUACACAUGCAAGUCGAACGGUAACAGGGAGCUUGCUCCGCUGACGAGUGGCGAACGGGUGAGUAAUGCGUCGGAACGUGCCGAGUAGUGGGGGAUAACGCAGCGAAAGUUGUGCUAAUACCGCAUACGUACUGAGGUAGAAAGUGGGGGACCUUCGGGCCUCACGCUAUUCGAGCGGCCGGCGUCUGAUUAGCUAGUAGGUGAGGUAAAGGCUCACCUAGGCGACGGUCAGUAGCGGGUCUGGGAGGAUGAUCCGCCACACUGGGACUGAGACACGGCCCAGACUCCUACGGGAGGCAGCAGUGGGGAAUUUUGGACAAUGGGCGAAAGCCUGAUCCAGCCAUGCCGCGUGUCUGAAGAAGGCCUUCGGGUUGUAAAGGACUUUUGUCGGGGAGGAAAUCCCCAGCGCUAAUACCGCUGGGGGAUGACAGUACCUGAAGAAUAAGCACCGGCUAACUACGUGCCAGCAGCCGCGGUAAAAC